UGCUUGCUGAGGAGGGACAAAGAUUCUCCCAGAAGGCAACUGUGGGAAGAGACUAUCAAGUUUCUUAGGUCUUAUGGUGUGUGCAAGCCAGUGCAACACCAAGAAAACUAUUCAAGUGGCUUUUUGCCAAGUGGGAACUGAGUGUUGCGUAGCAGCUCCUCCUCUUCACCUGUGACCACACUCAAUUAUAACAAGCACUGAAUUCUGUACAAGAAAAGGUCUGUUCAAGACAGAGUUUACCCGGGACUCCUGGAGAGAGCAGCUAGGAACAUCAGGAUCACUCUAAUUCCUGAGCAAAUGAUCCAAAUCUGCGGACAGAAAAGCAAUAUAUGAGGUCAACAGCCAUUCCCUUGCAAUCAGGAGACAGGGGAAGAAGAGAAAGGAACCUCGCCCUUCCACCUUUUUAAAUUCUGUGUUUCAUUUUAUUUAUCUUAUAAUAAUAUUCUACAGUGAAAAAUCUCCUAAGUCUUGUUCUGGAGCCUGCACAAUGGUCUCCACUUUCUCCUACCUGUCCAGGAGAGCCCGUAAUUAGUACUUAAUUAUAGUCUAUAUGACCAUUUUGGCCAGGAAGAAAAGAGCAGC
rnacentral:lncRNA from 1 species